rnacentral:misc_RNA from 1 species
AGACAGGAAGUCAUGAAUUUAUCUCCCCAACAAACAUCUAUGGAGAUGGAUAUAUGUGAAUGCACUGAUGUAGAAAACCCAGAUACUGCAAAAUGUUUAGCAAAGAUUGUGAUGAAAGACUUGCCAGAAAAGGCCUGCAUAUCAGUUACAUUUCAUUUACGAAGUGAGGGAUCAUUACAUGUCACGUGUCGGGAGGAAACGUCUCAGAUUGUGGAACAAGUGACAGUAGACGUGUGUAGUUGAUUUAAGACACAAGUUUCAUAGGAACACAAUUAAUCAAUCCAGCAGAGAGAAGGCCCGUGCACUGGUGGUGCUUGUAUUCAGUGCACCGCUGACCGGCUCCUCAGACUGGACUACCACUCAUCAAUGUUUCUCUCCGAGGCCUUCACUUCUUUCCCCGAAAUAUUUACCCACUGGGUAUUAGACUUUUGUACAUUGUCAUGAGUUGACUUACCUGAUGAAAUAAACUGCAGAUAUUGUUACAGCAAU